rnacentral:rRNA from 1 species
ACCAGCACGUUAUGGUGGGCACUCUAAGGAGACUGCCGGUGACAAACCGAGGAAGUGGGGAUGACGUCAAGUCAUCAUGGCCCUUACGGCCUGGGCUACACACGUGCUACAAUGGUCGGUACAAAGGGUUGCCAAGCCGCGAGGUGGAGCUAAUCCCAUAAAACCGAUCGUAGUCCGGAUCGCAGUCUGCAACUCGACUGCGUGAAGUCGGAAUCGCUAGUAAUCGUGAAUCAGAAUGUCACGGUGAAUACGUUCCCGGGCCUU